rnacentral:rRNA from 1 species
GACGAACGCUGGCGGCGUGCUUAACACAUGCAAGUCGAACGGAAAGGCCCUGCUUUUGUGGGGUGCUCGAGUGGCGAACGGGUGAGUAACACGUGAGUAACCUGCCCUUGACUUUGGGAUAACUUCAGGAAACUGGGGCUAAUACCGGAUAGGAGCUCCUGCUGCAUGGUGGGGGUUGGAAAGUUUCGGCGGUUGGGGAUGGACUCGCGGCUUAUCAGCUUGUUGGUGGGGUAGUGGCUUACCAAGGCAUUGACGGGUAGCCGGCCUGAGAGGGUGACCGGCCACCUUGGGACUGCGAUACGGCCCAGACUCCUACGGGAGGCAGCAGUGGGGAAUAUUGCACAAUGGGCGGAAGCCUGAUGCAGCAACGCCGCGUGCGGGAUGACGGCCUUCGGGUUGUAAACCGCUUUCGCCUGUGACGAAGCGUGAGUGACGGUAAUGGGUAAAGAAGCACCGGCUAACUACGUG